rnacentral:rRNA from 1 species
GGGUCAGUAGGUUGGUCGUGCCACCGGUACGUACUGGUCUCACUGAUUCCUCCUUCCUGAAGAACCGUAAUGCCAUUAAUUUGGUGUUGCGGGGAAACAGGACUGUUACUUUGAAAAAAUUAGAGUGUUUAAAGCAAGCUAACGCUUGAAUACAUUAGCAUGGAAUAACGAAAUAGGACGAUCGAUCCUAUUUUGUUGGCUUCUAGGAUUGACGUA